CCUACGGGAGGCAGCAGUGAGGAAUAUUGGUCAAUGGACGAGAGUCUGAACCAGCCAAGUAGCGUGAAGGAUGACUGCCCUAUGGGUUGUAAACUUCCUUUAUAUGGGAAUAAAAUGUUCCACGUGUGGGAUUUUGUAUGUACCAUAUGAAUAAGGAUCGGCUAACUCCGUGCCAGCAGCCGCGGUAAUACGGAGGAUCCGAGCGUUAUCCGGAUUUAUUGGGUUUAAAGGGAGCGUAGGUGGAUUGUUAAGUCAGUUGUGAAAGUUUGCGGCUCAACCGUAAAAUUGCAGUUGAAACUGGCAGUCUUGAGUACAGUAGAGGUGAGCGGAAUUCGUGGUGUAGCGGUGAAAUGCUUAGAUAUCACGAAGAACUCCGAUUGCGAAGGCAGUUCACUGGACUGCAACUGACACUGAGGCUCGAAAGUGUGGGUAUCAAACAGGAUUAGAUACCCCAGUAGUC
rnacentral:rRNA from 1 species